CAACUACUCUCUCCGUCCGGAAAUAUUUGUCAUCGAAAUGAUCAAAAGGGGAUGUAUCUAGAUGUAUUUUAGGUCUAGAUACAUCCCUUUUUAUUUAUUUUGAUGACAAGUAUUUUCGGACGGAGGGAGUAUAUA
rfam:Triticum aestivum genome assembly, contig: Triticum_aestivum_CS42_TGACv1_scaffold_329736_4BS